AGCAGCAGAGAGGAUGCCUGAACCCCAUGCACCCACGUGCUGGUCCUGACAGGUGCCCAGAGCCCAGGUGCAGCCAGGGCUUUGCUCAGCAAUCAAAGGGAGCAGCACUCGGCAGUGUAAACAGUAGGAUGUGGUGGGAGCAGCGCAGCAUCAACCGAGGAACAGCUUGGAUUCACGGAGAAGGAAGGGCUGCACAUUACACUGUCUACACCGGCUGAUGCUGGUACUUCCGAUGCCUGGAAAGCUGCCGCCUCCACAUCCUCUGCUGCUGGCACACAAGCAUUUCCUAACCCUUCACAGCACUGGAAUGAAGGAAGGUAUCCAGGUAUCCAACCCAAGCCAUCCCCUGCAUCCCCUCAAGCACAGAAACACAUUGUCACUCCCUACAGCUGCCUUAUUUUGCUGUUUACUAUUUAAGAUGGUCACUGUUAUGGCCAGAAGACUGAGAGGAAUACACCCGUCACGUGAAGCAAUAAUGAAGAUAAUUGCAUGCACAGUGCAAUGGUUUUUUUCAUCUUCAUUUGUAUCCUCUACAGAAUAAACUUCACCAAGUGCGAA